GCCGGGUUCGUCUAUCGGUUAGGACGCGAGAUUCUCAUUCUCGAAAGACGGGUUCGAUUCCCGUACCUGGUACCA
rnacentral:tRNA from 1 species